GCACCCAUAGCUCAGCUGGAUAGAGUGAUGGACUUCGAAUCCAGAGGCCGUGGGUUCGAAUCCCACUGGGUGCACCA
rnacentral:tRNA from 2 species